GCAGUCGACGGUGAAGCCCUUCCGGGUGGAUCAGUGGGGAACGGGUGAGUAACACGUGGGCGACCUGCCCCAGACUCUGGGAUAACACCGGGAAACCGGGGCUAAUACCGGAUACGACUACUGCGGGCAUCCGUGGUGGUGGAAAGUUCCGGCGGUCUGGGAUGGGCCCCCGGCCUAUCAGCUUGUUGGUGGGGUAAUGGCCUACCAAGGCGACGACGGGUAGCCGGCCUGAGAGGGCGACCGGCCACACUGGGACUGAGACACGGCCCACACUCCUACGGGAGGCAGCAGUGGGGAAUAUUGCACAAUGGGCGAAAGCCUGAUGCAGCGACGCCGCGUGAGGGAUGACGGCCUUCGGGUUGUAAACCUCUUUCAUUAGGGAAGAAGCCUUCGGGUGACGGUACCUACAGAAGAAGCACCGGCUAACUACGUGCCAGCAGCCGCGGUAAUACGUAGGGUGCGAGCGUUGUCCGGAAUUAUUGGGCGUAAAGAGCUCGUAGGCGGCUUGUCGCGUCGGAUGUGAAAGCCCGGGGCUUAACCCCGGGUCUGCAUUCGAUACGGGCAGGCUAGAGUUCGGUAGGGGAGAUCGGAAUUCCUGGUGUAGCGGUGAAAUGCGCAGAUAUCAGGAGGAACACCGGUGGCGAAGGCGGAUCUCUGGGCCGAUACUGACGCUGAGGAGCGAAAGCGUGGGGAGCGAACAGGAUUAGAUACCCUGGUAG
rnacentral:rRNA from 1 species